UGUUUUCCGGCAUUGCCCAUCUCUGUAAGCCCCCCGUCUCGCCCCACCCUGCAGCAACUGUAAUGUAUUUAAACGGUCAAGUUGAUGUAUGCAGUAUAUAUUUUUUUUCCUGCUGUCGCUGAUAUGACUCCAAUUACGGUAAUUCAUUAAAAUAAAUGAGAUAAGUUAAAAAAAAAGGUGAGAAUGCAUUCCUUCUUUUGAGAUACACAGAAAGUGUGGGAGAUCAGGAAAUAAAAUGGGAACUUGUGAAAAGUUUAUUUGCGAAAUGGCAGAUGAGAGUACAAUAAGUUAAGACUCAGGGUCGGGUUAGAUGAGGAGGGGAUCGACCUCGGUAGCCAGUCCUGUGCCAAAGCAGUCGCUCAGACUGCCGGCCAAUGAGUGACAAGAGGGAGGGUCCUCUUUCUCCCAUCACCCCCUCCUGCACUGAGAAAACUGGCGUACCCCCAAUCAGGCGAAGGUAUUUUGGGGAGAUGGAAAUUUAGGAACACGUCCGGAACC